GCAUUAAUGGGGUAGUGGUAACCUGGGUCGUUGCCAUUCUCAUUAUCUCGACCCGCCGGGGGUUCGAUUCCCCCUUAAUGCA